UACGAAGGGGGCUAGCGUUGCUCGGAAUCACUGGGCGUAAAGCGCACGUAGGCGGCUUCUUAAGUCAGGGGUGAAAUCCUGGAGCUCAACUCCAGAACUGCCUUCGAUACUGGCGAUCUCGAGUUCGGGAGAGGUGAGUGGAACUGCGAGUGUAGAGGUGAAAUUCGUAGAUAUUCGCAAGAACACCAGUGGCGAAGGCGGCUCACUGGCCCGAUACUGACGCUGAGGUGCGAAAGCGUGGGGAGCAAACAGG
rnacentral:rRNA from 1 species